AUGGCUCAGGACGAACGCUGGCGGCGUGCCUAAUACAUGCAAGUAGAACGCUGAAGAGAGGAGCUUGCUCUUCUUGGAUGAGUUGCGAACGGGUGAGUAACGCGUAGGUAACCUGCCUUGUAGCGGGGGAUAACUAUUGGAAACGAUAGCUAAUACCGCAUAACAAUGGAUGACCCAUGUCAUUUAUUUGAAAGGGGCAAAUGCUCCACUACAAGAUGGACCUGCGUUGUAUUAGCUAGUAGGUGAGGUAACGGCUCACCUAGGCGACGAUACAUAGCCGACCUGAGAGGGUGAUCGGCCACACUGGGACUGAGACACGGCCCAGACUCCUACGGGAGGCAGCAGUAGGGAAUCUUCGGCAAUGGGGGCAACCCUGACCGAGCAACGCCGCGUGAGUGAAGAAGGUUUUCGGAUCGUAAAGCUCUGUUGUAAGUCAAGAACGAGUGUGAGAGUGGAAAGUUCACACUGUGACGGUAGCUUACCAGAAAGGGACGGCUAACUACGUGCCAGCAGCCGCGGUAAUACGUAGGUCCCGAGCGUUGUCCGGAUUUAUUGGGCGUAAAGCGAGCGCAGGCGGUUUGAUAAGUCUGAAGUUAAAGGCUGUGGCUCAACCAUAGUUCGCUUUGGAAACUGUCAAACUUGAGUGCAGAAGGGGAGAGUGGAAUUCCAUGUGUAGCGGUGAAAUGCGUAGAUAUAUGGAGGAACACCGGUGGCGAAAGCGGCUCUCUGGUCUGUAACUGACGCUGAGGCUCGAAAGCGUGGGGAGCGAACAGGAUUAGAUACCCUGGUAGUCCACGCCGUAAACGAUGAGUGCUAGGUGUUGGAUCCUUUCCGGGAUUCAGUGCCGCAGCUAACGCAUUAAGCACUCCGCCUGGGGAGUACGACCGCAAGGUUGAAACUCAAAGGAAUUGACGGGGGCCCGCACAAGCGGUGGAGCAUGUGGUUUAAUUCGAAGCAACGCGAAGAACCUUACCAGGUCUUGACAUCCCGAUGCUAUUUCUAGAGAUAGAAAGUUACUUCGGUACAUCGGUGACAGGUGGUGCAUGGUUGUCGUCAGCUCGUGUCGUGAGAUGUUGGGUUAAGUCCCGCAACGAGCGCAACCCCUAUUGUUAGUUGCCAUCAUUCAGUUGGGCACUCUAGCGAGACUGCCGGUAAUAAACCGGAGGAAGGUGGGGAUGACGUCAAAUCAUCAUGCCCCUUAUGACCUGGGCUACACACGUGCUACAAUGGUUGGUACAACGAGUUGCGAGUCGGUGACGGCAAGCUAAUCUCUUAAAGCCAAUCUCAGUUCGGAUUGUAGGCUGCAACUCGCCUACAUGAAGUCGGAAUCGCUAGUAAUCGCGGAUCAGCACGCCGCGGUGAAUACGUUCCCGGGCCUUGUACACACCGCCCGUCACACCACGAGAGUUUGUAACACCCGAAGUCGGUGAGGUAACCUUUUGGAGCCAGCCGCCUAAGGUGGGAUAGAUGAUUGGGGUGAAG
rnacentral:rRNA from 1 species